AAAUAAUUGACGUAUGAUUUAUAUGAUUAAUUAUUUAUGUUUACUUUGAUUGGCAUCACCGCAUAAACAAACUUUCAUUAAUUUUAUAAAUCUGGCAUAUAAACCAGUAAAAGUUUUGCCUGUAGAUUGAUUGAUUUACAGUGUAAGAUAUGUCUAAGCCAAAGUGGGAUUUCAGAGACAUCUCUAAAGGGCUUAAAAUUUUUCGUGAUAUCUUGUUAGGUCGAAAACACAAUCUUCACGGACGAUUUCCUCCUCUUAUGUCCCCGAGUGGCACCUGUAGCGGAAGGUCCGCCCAUGAACCAAGAUCCAACAAAGAAAGCACAGCCCGGUGGGAUCAAGCCAGAUACGGUGUGUUUCCAUUGCGCUCCGACCCCUGGUCCGCCUUGGUCGUGGGACGGUCACCAGUACUAUGAAUGCCUACCGGAUCCACCGCCAUCAUCGCCAUCUCCGUGUCCACAGAAUUGUCCUGAUGACAAAUAGUCAAAAGAGACACACGUAAAUAAUAUGAAGGCACUUUAAUUUGUUAAAUGAAAUACUAUUCUUUUACAUCGCUAGUUUUAUUCACGUUACAAUUUAAAAAAAAUAUAUAUAUUGUUUUUGAUAUUCGUUGCGUCCUUCGGCACCUUUGUGAAAAUUCUAGAAAUGAGUAACAAUAAAAGAAAGUUUUAAA